GGACCAUUGUGUUACAAAAUGCACCACAGAAGUGUACGCGGGGACAUCUUCUUUCCGGUGUUACGAUCCAUCACAUCAGUCUAUUCCUCGUCUGGUAGAUACUUCCGGUGUUGGGGAGUGUUGGGAACUGCUGAAAGAAAAAAAAAUAGUGUGCAUCUCCCGAGACAGAGUGAUAGUGCUGUUUUGUUUUGUUGGGCGUUGAAGAGGAGCAUUGUGGUUGACGCGCGCGUUAUUGUGUAAAUCGAAAUUGAACGAGUUUCGGUGUGAGUGACAAAGGCGCGCUAGACGUGGGGGGCCCGAAUACUACUCCACCGCGAGAUUGCUGUCGGCUCCUCGGCGCCAUUGUGCCAUGAUCCGGAGUAGUGGAAUGGAAAAGCACAAAACACAUCUUCCGGACUGCCGGAAGCUUAACGUCACCGAUGGAAUCCCCGGCCCCCUCCGGCUUGUUGUUGUUGCACGUGCUGCAGUACCUUUUUAAAAAGGGGAGCGAGUAAUGCAUGCGGUUGACGCGCUACCUUCACACGAAAACUAUCUUUCCGGAUUGCAUUUGUUUCCACGAACAGCGGAAAGACGAGAGAGUUGAGCGCUAUGCCUCAAAAUUCUUAACAACCAAAACGGAAGGCGAUAAAUGGACUAAUUUGUUCGGAUGGAAACACUACACUUUGCAGUCUUGGAAUGCCGGCACGGGAAUGUUUCACCGAACUAAUUAAGUAUAUAAACACUGUGCUCGACAAAGAAGACUAAUACAGUAGUGGAAGUGAGCAAUACAAAUGUUGAAGAUUAAAAAUUCGAAAGCCAAAUAGUUGCUCAAAAUGGAAUCAUUCUGGUAUUAACGCAUUCAACGAAAGAGAAUCAGUCUAGUCUGAGGCUCUUAUCACUGGAAUCCGACCUCCAGAAGUAUACACUGCACAGAAGACAAGGGAACAACGAAAUUGAAAUGGAGGAUAUGACCAUCUGUAAAAUAGGAUCUUUCAUCCCAAAUUUGAGACAUUGCAAGAAAUCUCAUGGUGACUUUAAAGCUCCAACUCUUUGCCGUGAUAUCUUUUUUUAAGAAUCAGAUUAAUUUUGACCAAAUUUGAAAGCAGCGUUGACACUUUUAUCGUAAUGUCCUAGAAGUCUUAAAACAGCUUCAUCACGAACUGGUUUGAGUCCCG